CUAACACAUGCAAGUCGAACGGUAACAGGAAGAAGCUUGCUUCUUUGCUGACGAGUGGCGGACGGGUGAGUAAUGUCUGGGAAACUGCCUGAUGGAGGGGGAUAACUACUGGAAACGGUAGCUAAUACCGCAUAACGUCGCAAGACCAAAGAGGGGGACCUUCGGGCCUCUUGCCAUCGGAUGUGCCCAGAUGGGAUUAGCUAGUAGGUGGGGUAACGGCUCACCUAGGCGACGAUCCCUAGCUGGUCUGAGAGGAUGACCAGCCACACUGGAACUGAGACACGGUCCAGACUCCUACGGGAGGCAGCAGUGGGGAAUUUUGGACAAUGGGGGCAACCCUGAUCCAGCAAUGCCGCGUGUGUGAAGAAGGCCUUCGGGUUGUAAAGCACUUUUGUCCGGAAAGAAAACGCCGUGGUUAAUACCCGUGGCGGAUGACGGUACCGGAAGAAUAAGCACCGGCUAACUACGUGCCAGCAGCCGCGGUAAUACGUAGGGUGCAAGCGUUAAUCGGAAUUACUGGGCGUAAAGCGUGCGCAGGCGGUCCGCUAAGACAGAUGUGAAAUCCCCGGGCUUAACCUGGGAACUGCAUUUGUGACUGGCGGGCUAGAGUAUGGCAGAGGGGGGUAGAAUUCCACGUGUAGCAGUGAAAUGCGUAGAGAUGUGGAGGAAUACCGAUGGCGAAGGCAGCCCCCUGGGCCAAUACUGACGCUCAUGCACGAAAGCGUGGGGAGCAAACAGGAUUAGAUACCCUGGUAGUCCACGCCCUAAACGAUGUCAACUAGUUGUCGGGUCUUCAUUGACUUGGUAACGUAGCUAACGCGUGAAGUUGACCGCCUGGGGAGUACGGUCGCAAGAUUAAAACUCAAAGGAAUUGACGG
rnacentral:rRNA from 1 species